ACAAAAGAAAAAGGAAAGCUCCUUUCCUCUCUCUACAGCCAAGUCUUGGAGUACUCGAAAGCCUCAUCUACAGGAGGAGCGUGAAAGAAAGAAGAUAUAAGAAGAUGUCUACCAACAGUUCCGCAUUUACGAUAAUUUUGGGUUCAUCGUCGAUGGCUCGCCGACAAAUUUUAACGGAGAUGGGAUAUGAGUUCACUAUAAUGAGUGCAGACAUAGAUGAGAAAGUUAUUAGGAGGGAAAAGCCAGCAGAUUUGGUAAUGGCUCUAGCUGAAGCGAAGGCAGAUGCCAUUGUAUCCAGGCUCAAAAGUACAGCUCAAUUUGAGGUGGAGGCUCAUUCAACACUGUUGAUAACUGCAGAUACAAUCAUUCAAGGUUAUUUCUUACUGCUCCAUCUAAUUGAUUUUGAGGUGGUGGUGUAUGAAGGGAUAAUCAGAGAAAAACCAUCCAGCAAGGAAGAAGCGCGGGAGUUUAUCAAAGGAUAUUCUGGCGGUCAAGCAGAGGUGGUAGGAUCUGUUCUUGUAACCAAUCUUAAGACGGGAAAAAGAAAAGGUGGAUGGGACAGAGCCGAGGUUUAUUUUUAUAACAUACCAGAUGAGGUCAUUGAUAGCCUGAUCAACGAGGGAUUUACACUCAAUGUUGCGGGAGGUUUGAUGCUGGAACAUCCAAUGACAUUGCCUUUUGUGGAAGCAGUGGUGGGGACAACUGAUACCGUUAUGGGACUUCCUAAAGCUCUCACAGAAAAAUGCAUACUCGAAGCCCUAUGGUUGUAGUGGCCAUAGAUUCUCUGUCAAAACCCCUCGUGGGAUGGAGCUGAAUCUGUAAUGUUUUCCACCAGCAUUUCAUAGUGGUCUUCAAACCCUGUUCUGAUACAAAGCUACAGAUUGUUUGGUCAUCAAUUUUUCAACUUGAACCCACAGUAUGUCUUCUGUUUCGUGUUCACUAGGCUCUGGGCUAAGCCAAACUUCAGAAAAUGUAUGACUAUCUAAUCUUACUGAUCAAGAAAAAUAUGUAUGACUAUAUCA